CAUUAUUUGAGAGACCAAGGUUUUCUGAUUUCAGAUUAAUUUAUUAAUGGCAUUUUUUUUACUCCCCUGUAAGCAGAUUGUUGAAGAGGUUGGCGGGGCAGUUGCUUGCAUGGAUGGUGGAAAGUUUUGUGUGUUUGAUAGAUCUGUUUGGUAUCCAAUGGUGUACUACAUGCUAAGCUUUUGCAGAGGAUUGCACCACCAACUGAGAAAUUGAAUACGAACGGAAUUGAUUUCUCACUCUGGUAUAAGCCUGAUAAUUACCACACAGACAUUUCAAAGGUGCAAGAUUUCUUUGUUCUUCUGCCAGCUUGAUUAGAAGGUUCUUUGCAGCCAACAGGUGCUCUAAAUUGUGCUUUAAAUUGUUAUUUAUCCUUUCUUUUUUUUAAAAAUAAAUUCUUAAAUAAAUGGUGCUGAUAAUUGCCAAGGAAUUACCAAGCAGGCUGGACAUUUGUACAUUCCAAACCGUGAAUAAAAAACUUGCUGGUCUUCUAGACCUAUAUCAGUCAAAAGUGGGUUGGAUUUCCUGAACCAUGAAUUUUAUCAUCAUUCUAUAAUGAUAACCAAGAAGUUAUUUAAAUAGAUAAAGUUCACCUCUCUCUCUCUUUCUCUCACUCUCUCACACACACAGGGGCACGAGGUUUAAGAUUUCUUCUUGAUCCGAGCUUUACAUGAACAAAAUACAAGAUUGUGAUUUAUAAAGAAGUUAAUGACAAGAAGUAAGUUUUAACCACAAAUGCUCAUUAAGUUUUGGAGAACUCAGAUUAGGGAGGAUUUUGAUUCCACAUGCAUACUAGAAUACUUGGGAAACAAGCUUAGGUUUCAUUUUUUUUUUUUUUUAAAGAAGAAUUGAGAAGCUAGAGAUUAGUUAGGAGACAGUGCUGGAUGAUUCUUACAGUAAUGCUACUGAUUUUUUUGGUAAGUAAUUAUUUUAACUUAUACUAAACAUGUAAAUGAAUUUAUUGAUUGAUUUGAAACUUACUUGUGCAAACGUUGAAUAUUUGAUUAUUUGCAGACUUGGUAUGCCCGCCGAAAGGCAACCCUGUUGAUGAUAAGUCCUUUCUUCCAUUUCCCAUCCUCAAUUUUAGACAUUAGGAUUUCCAACUCCCCAGCCUACUCUGGCGAAGUUGUAAACUUGCCAACCUGGAUCUUUAUCCAUUGAAUUCUUGGCUUCAUCUUCAAAUUUUCUUUGUGCUUUAUGUUAAUUCCAUUGGUAGGAAGAGUCCCAGGUUUAUUGAUUUCACAUAUUUUCUAGUUUGUUCACCAUCCGUGCAUGGCCUUCUUCCGUCAACAUUAUGACAAAUGCAACCUCAAGCAAAGUCCUUGGAUUGAGCUUCGUUCUGUUGAAUUUCACAUUUGUCUCCAGCCAGCUCACAUUUAAAAGUUCAGCCACAUCCGGAAAAACAUCACUGCCUAAGAACUUACAGUCAGAGGAGAAUUACUAUCCGAAAGUACUAACAAACCUCUGUGAGAUGGCGCCAUGCGAACUAAAUUAAUUAUUCCUUGACCUGCAACCUUCCAAGCUAGUUUAAUGAGUCUCCCAGCAUGACAAGUCCUGCCUUCGAAUGGGGACUGAAUUCGUACAUAGACAAUUCUAUAUGUGGACGUUGCAAGAGGUGGGAUCUCCACGACAGUCUCUGGUUUCAGUUUUGCCGAACAUUUUUUUGUUUUUGCUUUCCAGCUUUGGGGUAGCCGAGGAAGUUGCAGGUUUGUUGGGACAUUUUUUUAUCGCUAUGAUAAAUGAGAUGCGGUAAAAAGCCAUUCGAGGGCAAAAACUCAUCGGAGUAAGCAUUGAUGUGCUAUUUUUUCCUUUUACCUAGCAAAAAUACCCUCAAGCAUGAAAAUAGCUUUCAGGCGCAUACUAAUCCUUUUAAGCGCAACACUAUGAAACAAUUUGUAACAGUUAAAAAUGCUACUAUAUAAAUUGAUUAUUUGUAAGAUAAAUUAAUUAUCAGAGUGGCACAGUGGAAACGAGGUGGGCCCGUAUCCCACAGGUCCUUAGGUGGGAACCUGUCUCUAAUAGUGGCUUCUGGAAGUUUUUUGUUACAUUUUGCUGGGUUGAACAACAUAAA